AUCCAGCUCCAAUAGCGUAUAUUAAAGUUGUUGCAGUUAAAAAGCUCGUAGUUGAACUUUGGGCCUGGGCGGGCGGUCUACCUAUGGUAAGUACUGUUGCGGCCGGGUCUUUUCCUUCUGGCUAGCUCUUCGGAGUGAACCAGGACGAUUACUUUGAGGAAAUUAGAGUGUUCAAAGCAGGCCUUUGCUCGGAUAUAUUAGCAUGGAAUAAUAGAAUAGGACGUUAUGGUUCUAUUUUGUUGGUUUCUAGGACCAUCGUAAUGAUUAAUAGGGACGGUCGGGGGCAUCAGUAUUCAGUUGUCAGAGGUGAAAUUCUUGGAUUAACUGAAGACUAACUACUGCGAAAGCAUUUGCCAAGGACGUUUUCAUUAAUCAAGAACGAAAGUUAGGGGAUCGAAGAUGAUCAGAUACCGUCGUAGUCUUAACCAUAAACUAUGCCGACUAGGAUUCAGAUGGUGCAUGAUGCGCCCAGCAGCAUGCUUGAGAUCCAUCAAACACACCUGGGUUUCUGGAGGGAGUAUAGGUCUCAGCGCUGACACCUAAAAGUAAUCGACGGAGAGGCACACCACCACCGCACAAUGGAUAGAGGCCCAACCUCCUUUAGGGUAGGAUGCUCCAAAAACAAAAAAAUUAUAUUAUUUUUAUUUUUUAU
rnacentral:rRNA from 1 species